rnacentral:lncRNA from 1 species
UUUUUCAUCGAUUUUGAUAUAUGGAACAUUGAAAUUGGAGUUCGUAUGUGAAAGUUAUGGCUGUUUUACAAACGGACUCCGAAUUAGAGGACAAAACGGUUCGAAAGUGGGAAAAAUUUGCGGCGGUGGCUAGAAAUUGAUGGAAAACGGUGGGGAAAAACACACGAACUGGACCCUAGCAAGAACCAGCAACAAGACCUUGACCAGGACACAAACUCAACACUGCGGACUCUGAAACUGAAAUAUGCAAAAGCUAUGAUGCGGAAGAGUUGUAGGACAGGAAAACGAUCUGGCGCUGGACUUACGGGACAAACACAAGAACACUCGAAACUAAGGCUAGAUGUGAACCUAAUGGUAUACUUGAAGCUUUGAUUACCACUUGGUGAGAACAAGGGUGGCCCGAUCUUCCGAAAGGUUCUGGUAACUCUCGAUUUGGUGGAGACGAGAUACAAAUCGAUCCGGCUUCCAAACAACACGAUCCGAAACCCUGUAUUUUUUUUAAUUUUUUUGAUAUUUUUAUUUUACUUAGGAGCACUAAAGAAGUAACUAGAGAAAAUUUGAGCUUAAACAAGUGAAAGACGUCACCUGCGGAAUUUUGUGAAGAUUGCGAAAAAUAAGAAAAAAAAACUUCACGAGGUGAAAACUCAAAUUUUGGAGGAAAAUUUGGAGAUUCUAAAAUUUUCAAACCCGCCUGUUCCAAGGAUAUACAGAUC